GCUGACUCUGUGCCCGAGGCCGAGCUCCCACAUUAUGCCAUGCGGUUGCUGACCGCGCUCCUAACCCCGAAAGCGGCCAAAUCCAUAAUAUUGGACAACAUCUUCCGUAUACCACGGCCAGCUACAGCACCACACGCUGCCACAGGGGACAUAAUCCUCCGAUUUCAAAGCACGAGGGAUAACAGGGCCGUUCUAGAAGCCACCAAGGGCCUAACAACCUAUACUUUUGAGGACAUGACUAGGUC